rnacentral:rRNA from 1 species
UACGGAGGGUGCAAGCGUUGUUCGGAAUCACUGGGCGUAAAGGGCGUGUAGGCGGCCUGUUAAGUCUGAUGUGAAAUCCCCAGGCUUAACCUGGGAACUGCAUUCGAGACUGCAUUGCUAGAGUAUGGGAGAGGGAAGUGGAAUUUCCGGUGUAGCGGUGAAAUGCGUAGAUAUCGGAAGGAACAUCAGUGGCGAAAGCGACUUCCUGGACCAAUACUGACGCUCAUGUGCGAAAGCGUGGGGAGCAAACAGG